GGAUCGCGUCUCCGUCCCUCCCUCCCGAGCGGGCCGUUUGACAUUGCCGCCCCUCCGGAGCGGGAGGAGCUACCGGGAGAGGGCGGGGCUCCCUGGAGAAGGCGAGGGGGCGGGGCCGAGCCCCUUCGGCAGCGCCCUUCUAACAGGAACUCCGGUGACGGCCUGUCACGGAGCGACAGUAAGGAUCCCCUGAAGAGUGAGAGAGGAUAUACUAUUGAAAAGAAUUCUUUCAAAUACAUCCUGAUUUAAAAAAGGGUCUCCCAUUACUAUGAUUAUUUAUCACAGCCAUUUUGCAUAGUGCUAAUUGCAAUGACAGCUGCUGAUAAAGAAGGGGAGACAAGGCAAACAUGAGAAAAUUUCAACUAGAUGAUGAAGAAAAAUGAUAGCACUCCAAUGCUGUAAAAGUAAAGAGGCUUUUAACAAUUUCAGAAUGGAAAGAGAAGGGAAUCCUAAAGAGAUGUUAGAGAUGAUCAAUUCAGACUUCUCACCAUUUGCCUGUCAUCCAUCUGUCCUGGUCCCCAGAGCGUGCUGUUUCUUAUUGAUGGAAGACUUACUGGACCAUCUGUGUGCUUCCUGUCUGCACAGGUCACAAGUGUUCAAGUUGUUCCCAGGUUAAAAAAUCACAGCUUCUGCUUUAAAUUCCCUUCUCUAUGCAUUUCUGAAGGAAGGAAAAGACUCAUUUAUGAAUGUCUGGGAAGGCCAUACGAGGUCAAAAGCACUCUUAAUGAUGAAGUGUUCCUUAGCUGAGCAAUACAGCUGGAGACAACACUUCCAGUUUUGUUUGUAGGUCCUGGCAGUACUUGGUGAGGGAGAAACAACUGUGCUGUGAGAUCUAGAGAACAGGCGCUUACGUAUAUAAGAUUCUUGGCCAUCAUUCUGCAUCAUACUGCUUGACCAUUAGUGUGACCAUCUCAGAAACAGGGUAUUUUUCCCCCUGUUUGAAUUCAGUCUCCCUAUAUAAAACCCAUUUGUGUAUUCAGGAGUUAAUAUGCUGAAGAAAACACAAUUCUGUAUAUAUUUUUAUUAAAAUCCAAUAAAGUCCUACUUAAAAAGGAGAAGGACUGCA
rnacentral:lncRNA from 1 species